GAUGAACGCUGGCGGCGUGCUUAACACAUGCAAGUCGAACGAUGAAGCCCAGCUUGCUGGGUGGAUUAGUGGCGAACGGGUGAGUAACACGUGAGUAACCUGCCCUUAACUCUGGGAUAAGCCUGGGAAACUGGGUCUAAUACCGGAUAGGAGCGUCCACCGCAUGGUGGGUGUUGGAAAGAUUUAUCGGUUUUGGAUGGACUCGCGGCCUAUCAGCUUGUUGGUGAGGUAAUGGCUCACCAAGGCGACGACGGGUAGCCGGCCUGAGAGGGUGACCGGCCACACUGGGACUGAGACACGGCCUAGACUCCUACGGGAGGCAGCAGUGGGGAAUAUUGCACAAUGGGCGCAAGCCUGAUGCAGCGACGCCGCGUGAGGGAUGACGGCCUUCGGGUUGUAAACCUCUUUCAGUAGGGAAGAAGCGAAAGUGACGGUACCUGCAGAAGAAGCACCGGCUAACUACGUG
rnacentral:rRNA from 1 species